CAGGAAUCCAAUGAAACGUCUGUCACUAAGGGAGGGAAAUACAUAGAGGCAUAAAAGGCAACCAGGCAACCCUUCGACAAGUGCAGACUGCAGAGGCAAGAAAGUUUCUUGUUCCAACAGCAAAAUCAGCAACAGCUGUGACUAUUGGAAACCCAGCUGUUCCUUUGCGGGAUUACCACCUUUCCAUUCUUUCAGGCCUCUGCUGCCUAUCAAGACACUAUAGACAAUAAUGCAUCAGCUGCACCUGUUGCCCCUUGUCUGCCCUGCAGAUUUCAAGGGAGCAACAUAGUUGGCAACCACAUUCUUUUCUGUCACUGUCAGAACCCACUUCACAACUGCUGCUGUUCAGUUAAAGAUGAAACUGUUUCAGCUGUCUGUGUCUGUAUAACAGCAAGCAAACUGUAGAUCUCCUCCCCUAGUUUCAUAUCAGCUGUCUUAAUGUACAACUAGUGGAAGGGGAUUCUCAACUAUCACAACCCACCAGAGAAGCCUGCUUCUUGCCCUGAGCCAUGCCACUGGGUGCACAUAGGAGCAUUAAGUUGGGCCUUGACAGCUUACCAUUUUCCUGUCUCUUCUGUAUAAUGCUGAUAUGAACCAACCAGAGCAAAGAAGAUGGAGGAGACAAUGUCUGCUUGGACAAUAAACAAUGAUGCAGUUGAUGUUGGGAAUUGGGUGCUUAGCAACACAAAGGAUUUAAUGAUGGGAGAUCCAGCCUAGCACAUGUUUGGGGGGAUUCUUCCACAAUAUUGCAAUGGCAUUUUUUCAUAUUAUAAGAAAUGUGGCUUCUCUUAUGGGUACUGUGUAAUGACACCAGAGCCAACCUGCUUUGGAAUGCACAGGAUGAUGCACCAUGCUCUAGUCCUUUCAUCAAAUUGGAAAGACAGCAAAACAACUUUUCAUGUUGCUCAAGGCCUGUCUGUUGCUAUUGUCAUCAUAAUUCAUUAGCAAUAUUGUCUAAUCAAAAUGAAAAAGGCACUUGGAGAAAUAGUGGAGAAAUAAAACAAACCAACCAAGAAAACUGCCUCACUAUUCUCUCUCUUGCAGUAUCAGGUCACACAGUUGACUAGGGUUCCUUCUCUAUGUUUUAAUUAUUGGUUUAAACUUAUUUUAUUAUUGGUUUUAGCAUGUUCUGAUUUUAAUUGCUAGCUGUCUUACAGUCCAGUCCAGAUGGGGGAGUGCUGUGGGGGAUGGUGCAUUGAAGAUGGUGCAACGCUGCCUUCCAAGGGA